UUGGUAGGAGAAAACUUGAGGGGAAGGGAGACCAGUCUUUGGCUAAUAGAAUAUCUAAUUGCUAAUAAGCUUCUUUCACCAAGUCAGUUUAAGAAUAAAAAGCAUCUUUUUAACAGUGUAGUGGUGUACUCUUACCAUGAUGCCAAUAGAUACUCGGAACAGGACUUUUUCAAGUGAGAUUUCUUGUUAGUGCUAUUACAGUAGAUAAAUAGUGUCUUUUAGAGUAUAUAAAUAAUUAAAUUGAUGCCUGAGUAGGAUCUUAAACCUUGUUCUCCUGUAUCCCUGGUGAGAGAUCUAGCCACUGGGCCAUCAUAUCUUUCCUAAUUGCCUCUGCUUGCUGUGGGCCUGUGAAUGUUUAAUUACUUCUAUAAACACAAAUAAAUUGGUAUUGAUGGGUCUGGAGGUGAUACUGGUUUGCUGAACUAAUAGUAUAUUGACAGUAUUAGAAUAUUCUUUCAGAAGUGUCCUUGAUCAUUUCUCCCAGAUAGUAAAAGCAGAUGCUUGAUGAUUAUAGAGCCUAUAGAAAUUGUUCUUGUUAAUAGUGUCUUUUUCUUUUAUGCAUGUAUUUAUAGUUUUUCACUUUUAAUUUUGUAUAGAUUGAGCGUUGUCUUGUGCCCUUCCUCCCCACCUCAAAAAGCUUGUGGCAGAAAGCUAAGAUAUAAGGCUUUGCUGAAGGAGAAAAGAAGAAAUGAGACCAAUUGCAAUGGCAAGCUUGCACUGGAUAAUUUAAUACACGCUCAGAGGAAUUCAUGCUUGCCUAGUACACUGCAUUGUUCAGCUGUACUACUCAGAUGGCCACAAGAAAAGACGCUGGUCUGAAAGGCUAAAAGCUUUUGCCUAGCCUUCUGCCAAUUUAUUUCUAUUAACUCACAAGGUCAAAAAUGAAGUAAAAAUGUCUGCAAGGCUCCUGAGUGGAACAGAAGAAUCAGAUAGGACAAAGUUGAUCAAACCCUGUUACAUUGUCUGUCCUAUGACAGCACUUCAGCUAGGGACACAGAUGAAUUCUAGAUGUUUUCUCAUAUUCAACUGAAUGGAAGGAAUUUGAAUGUUCGCCUUGAAAAUGACCGAGAGUUACAUAAGUGUAGCUAAAAGCUGGAGGAAAAACCGAUUUAUCACCAUCUUGAUUUGAAGGAGUUUUGGUGGUUUUUUUUCAGUGUUCGGAAACAGAUUCCAUUCCACUCCUAAUUGUUCAAGUAAUGCAGAAUGACGAAAUAGGCAAAUGGCAGGAGGCAAUACAAAUUUUGAAAUGCAUCAGAUGGAAUGUAAUGACUUACCUAUGCUAAUUUGGGGAUGAACAGACUGAAUCUGGCAUGAUACUAAGGCUUGCAUUCACUGUUUCACUCCAAGAUGAAACUCAUCCUUAUGGCUGAAUACUGGACAAUGAUGAAAAAAAAUCCUCAUUUUUUCUUCCUUUUCAGAGUGAAUUCUCCGAAAUGGAAAGGAGGAGAAAGCUUAUUUGAGUGACUGGAAAUUAGAAGCACUCAAUGAUCAGGAAAAUAUUUCUAAAAAUGUGGAUGUUAUUUUCAUGCAACAUGAGUUCUGAAUAUAUGGGCAGGCAAUUACCCAAUCUAUUAUAGGCCAUUGCAUAUUGGAUAGCAGCUACCGAACUCUUGGCUUCAACAUGUUUGGAUAGAACAGUACCUUAAUUCUUCUUCCCCUUUCUGUUAACGGGAAGAACAGCAGCUGGGAGGAACAUUUGCUGUGGGCAGAGUGUAGACUGUAUUAAGGAUCAAACAUUUAAGCAGAACAUUUCAACAGGGAUGCAGAACCCAUUUAGAUUUCAGCUGUGAACAUGUUUAAUCUUGUUUAAAACUGAGCCUCCUAGAAUGCCUUUGCAAAAGCUGAGAAAUACUAGAAAUUAAGCUUCCAGUUACCUCUGAAGCAAAAGAUCAAAAAAGAUUUGUGCUGACAAACACUUGUUGUAAUUUUAGUACAUGUAACUCUGGUACUGUUCACUCCAGAAUUUAAAUGUGAGUGUCACAUCUUCCUGUGGACAUGGAAUUCUGCCAGAUUGUCCAGAACUUUUACUAGAUCAGCCAUGAGCUCCUGCAGACUUAAAAAAAACCAAAACACAGUAAACUAACAUACAUGAGAUAUGACUAAGAAUCAAAAUUCUGGAAAAAAAGCAAAAGGAGAACCCCCCACCCCCAUAAUUUUGAAGGUAGGAAACCUUCAAAAGGUAGGAAAUCAAGUGGACCUGAACACCUGAACAUUCCAGCUGAAGCAGUAAUGAGCCUAACCCAAAAAUCCUCAACAAAUUUGGAAUCCAGAUCUGCAUUAUUUCAAUAACUUUUUUCCAGAUGCUCUUCUAGUUCUCUUAACAACAGCUGUCUUGAUAGAUUAUUAUUUUUGUUCUCAAAAAGCACAGGGAAACACAAUAUAAAAACAGAGCAGUAUAUGAUGGAAUCAGUGGUCAAUGCAUCUUAAUAGCUGCAACUAUGACUAGUAGAGUAUAAAUAUCUUGUACACUAACACUUGUCUGGACUGUACUCCACCUACCCCCAGUUUAAGAAUUUCACUGUCUGGCAGUUGUAGCAGCAUUUUUGUGCUCAAUACUCCCGGUGGAUUUGACUGCCAUGAAUUUGUCUAAUCCAUCACUGGUAUUCACUGUUCCCUGGGUCUCAGAAUUUCACAGUUCAGCUAUGUAUAAUUUGCAUUCACUUGUUUUAAAUCAACCACGUGUUAAGUUGGUUUGAUGUCCAUGGACCUUGCGUUUUGAGAAGCAAUAACAAAAUGUUCUGUUUGCCUUCUCUGUCCUUCAGAAACAGUUGUACUUCUGCCACGCUUCCCCAACAACCACUUUUCUAAACUAGAGCAUCCCAGACUAGUUUGUCUGCCUGCUCAGUGGAGCCGUUGCAGUCAGCCCAAGCCUUCAGCCACCUUUGCCAUCUUGUUUCCUUUACUAGUUUUAUUAUCUGCUUUUCUAGGUGAGUGGAAACCACAACCAAACAUAGCCUCAGAUUUCCACUGCCUUUGAAACAGCUGUUACUUACCAAUUUCUGAACUGAUUUUCUUUGGGUUGCAUACUAUAUAAGGGCUUUCUCACAGAUUAUUGUGUGAUAAAGAAACAGACUGAGCUGUGAAUUUCCACGGCCAGCAUGGGAAAAAUAGGUAGGUGCAGGACUUCUGUCAGUGAGCUUAAGGUGUAGGCUGGUGCUGUGUCAGUGACAAUAACUUAAUGGCUUGUCCUUUAUGACUGUCUACAAUAAUAAUGUUAACAAUUAUAUUAUAUUGUAUUAUAUUAAAAUAAUUAUAAUAUUUAUAAUAUUAAUAAUAUUGUUGUUAUUAAUAAUAAUGUCUCUAUAUGCUGCACUUUCACAAGAGGAAAUGUACACCUCCCUUUGUCCUUACCACUAACAAAGAAGCUGCCUCCUCCUCCCCAGCUUCCAGCUGUCUCUGCAGCAAAACAGAGGUGAAAAGAGAGAAACCUUCCUGAUGCAGGUAGCCAUCACAAGAGUAUCUUUUCACCAGACCCCGUGAAUCUGCCCUCCUAUCAACUAUUUGUCUCACCCUGAAAGUGAGUGCUGACAACAAGGUAAGCCAAGCAGCUGAUCAGACUGACGGUUUGCACCAGGCCUCCCUCCCCUAGAGAAUAUUUAGGCAGGGAGGUGAACGUGCAGAAGAAUGUUUAAAUAAGAACAAUUUUUAAAAUGUCCUUAAACCCAAAAGCUGAGGACAUUGUGAUGGGAACUAUAUUCAAAGUUUAUAGCUCAGAUUCAAUGUGCAAAGAGAUCCAAAAACUCAGGCAUCUGUAAGAAUUGUCAAGUCCUCUAACCGGCAGAGGCAAGUUCUAUUUUUCACUGCAACAGACAUACUGGGUACACAAGGGGAACAGGUUUCCAUGACACCGAUACAAAGGAUCUCCAUGGAAGCUCGUGGCAGCAAAAUUAAAUGAAGCUGGAGCAGAAGAUACCACAGAUGGUACUGGAAAGAUAUGAACUGAACCUCCUAUCAGCAGGGAAGAGACUGUGUUCAUCUCAGUUCAGCUGCCUUCAAAUUGCACAUCUCCCAACAACCAUUUCCUGGGCUCCCCCUCCAGUCAAUGGAGUGACUCCAGAGCAUGAUUCACCACAUCCUAAGAAUAGAGCCUGAGAUCAGUAAAGCAACAGGACCAAAGCCAGCAACAGUGUGAAGCGCUGCUAUGGGUGCUGGACAGGCUGGUGUGGUGUACCAUUGUGCCAUAAAAACCAGACAUACAUUUCCCUUCAGAAUGGGUCACAUAACAUUGACUUUUAGUGUAGUUCUUCCAUGCAAUGCCCUGUGGAAGAAUCUGCUGAAGUACAUAGGUUUCUUGACAGGUGAGGAAGGAUUAAUCCAGUAACCUUCACAAAACAUUUGUUUUACACCAAGCACAAGAUUUGUGGGAAAACAAGGUAAACUGUGUAAGGAAAUAAACAUUCACAGAGGAAGAAGUCUUCUCUGGUGUGAAUUCAUUGUUUUUUUCUGAACCUACAGAAAAAACCUUCUAAGGAUUUCGGAAAACCAGACAAAUGAAAGUGAAAUCAUUAUCUGACUUAACUAUACUCAUGUCUGGUGUUGUCAAUAUUGUUUGCUUAAGGACCUGAGAACAGCAGGUUUGAGAUCCUUUUGUGUGCUACCUGCUAAAUUUUUCUUCCGUCAAUAUUUGCACGUAUCUAAAUUGAUGGCCUGAACUCCUUUCUUAGUAUGCAAGAAAAGAGUGGAGUGAUGAGGUAUGUUUGUGCAAUAGUUCUGGCAAGGAAUACGGACUGGCAUAGCCAUGGACAAAACCCUGUUUUUCAAAGAAUUAUCAGGAUGUUUCUGGUCAUCUAAUUGCUGUUCAGAGGUUUAAGUUCUG